GAUCCUGGCUCAGAUUGAACGCUGGCGGCAUGCCUUACACAUGCAAGUCGAACGGCAGCGCGGACUUCGGUCUGGCGGCGAGUGGCGAACGGGUGAGUAAUACAUCGGAACGUACCCUGUUGUGGGGGAUAACUAGUCGAAAGAUUAGCUAAUACCGCAUACGACCUGAGGGUGAAAGUGGGGGACCGCAAGGCCUCACGCAGCAGGAGCGGCCGAUGUCUGAUUAGCUAGUUGGUGGGG
rnacentral:rRNA from 1 species